rnacentral:rRNA from 1 species
GUGCCAGCAGCCGCGGUAAUACGUAGGUGGCAAGCGUUGUCCGGAAUUAUUGGGCGUAAAGGGAGCGCAGGUGGGAAUGUAAGUCAGUCUUAAAAGUGCGGGGCUCAACCCCGUUAGGGGAUUGAAACUACAUUUCUUGAGUGCAGGAGAGGAAAGUGGAAUUCCUAGUGUAGCGGUGAAAUGCGUAGAGAUUAGGAGGAACACCAGUGGCGAAGGCGACUUUCUGGACUGUAACUGACACUGAGGCUCGAAAGCCAGGGGAGCGAACGGGAUUAGAUACCCCGGUAGCCCUGGCCGUAAACGAUGGAUACUAGGUGUGGGAGGUAUCGACCCCUUCCGUGCCGGAGUUAACGCAAUAAGUAUCCCGCCUGGGGAGUACGGCCGCAAGGCUGAA